rnacentral:rRNA from 1 species
GACGAACCGUGCGAACGUUGUUCGGAUUCACUGGGCUUAAAGGGCGCGUAGGCGGACGGUCAAGUCGGGGGUGAAAUCUUUCAGCUUAACUGGAAAAGUGCCUCCGAUACUGAUCGUCUCGAGGGAGGUAGGGGCAUGUGGAACUUCCGGUGGAGCGGUGAAAUGCGUAGAUAUCGGAAGGAACACCAGUGGCGAAAGCGGCUUCCUGGUCCGACACCGACGUUCAGGCACGAAAGCGUGGGGAGCAAACAGG